GCCCCUGUAGCUCAAUCGGUAGAGCAGCGGUCUUUUAAACCAUGGGUCCUCGGUUCGAGUCCGAGUGGGGGCACCG
rnacentral:tRNA from 1 species